GGAGACACCAAGACCAUGUCAGCUCUUAUAAAGGAAGGCAUUUACUUGGAGCUGCCUUGUAGUUUCAGAGGUCUAGCCCAUUGUCAUCACGGCAGGAAGCAUGGCAGCAUGCAGGCAGACAUGGUGCUG